rnacentral:precursor_RNA from 8 species
GCUCAGGUGAGUCCAGUGAGGUGCCUGGGGCGUGACAUUUAAGGAGGUAGUUCCAUGACCAGAGAGUGGAUGCCCCUUAAGUGUCUUGCCCCAGGCCCCUCGCUCACCUCCCUAUAAGCU